GGUUAAUCAGAGAAGGUAAUAAUCCUGUAGUCGAAAACGAAUUCUCUCUUGAGUGGAUCCUGAGUACGACGGAGCACGUGAAAUUCCGUCGGAAUCUGGGAGGACCAUCUCCUAAGGCUAAAUACUCUCUAGUGACCGAUAGUGAACCAGUACCGUGAGGGAAAGGUGAAAAGUACCCCGGAAGGGGAGUGAAAGAGAACUUGAAACCGUGUGCUUACAAGUAGUCAGAGCCCGUUAAUGGGUGAUGGCGUGCCUUUUGUAGAAUGAACCGGCGAGUUACGAUCUGAUGCAAGGUUAAGCAGAAAAUGUGGAGCCGUAGCGAAAGCGAGUCUGAAUAGGGCGAAUGAGUAUUUGGUCGUAGACCCGAAACCAGGUGAUCUACCCUUGGUCAGGUUGAAGUUCAGGUAACACUGAAUGGAGGACCGAACCGACUUACGUUGAAAAGUGAGCGGAUGAACUGAGGGUAGCGGAGAAAUUCCAAUCGAACUUGGAGAUAGCUGGUUCUCUCCGAAAUAGCUUUAGGGCUAGCCUCAAGUGAUGAUUAUUGGAGGUAGAGCACUGUUUGGACGAGGGGCCCCUCUCGGGUUACCGAAUUCAGACAAACUCCGAAUGCCAAAUAAUUUAACUUGGGAGUCAGAAUGUGGGUGAUAAGGUCCAUAUUCGAAAGGGAAACAGCCCAGACCACCAGCUAAGGUCCCAAAAUAUAUGUUAAGUGGAAAAGGAUGUGGCGUUGCCCAGACAACUAGGAUGUUGGCUUAGAAGCAGCCAUCAUUUAAAGAGUGCGUAAUAGCUCACUAGUCGAGUGACACUGCGCCGAAAAUGUACCGGGGCUAAACAUAUUACCGAAGCUGUGGAUUGUCCUUUGGACAAUGGUAGGAGAGCGUUCUAAGGGCGUUGAAGCAUGAUCGCAAGGACAUGUGGAGCGCUUAGAAGUGAGAAUGCCGGUGUGAGUA
rnacentral:rRNA from 1 species